UUCAGCUCUCAACAUGAGGUUCCCUGCUCAGCUCCUGGGGCUGCUAAUGCUCUGGGUCCCAGGAUCCAGUGGGGAUAUUGUGAUGACCCAGACUCCACUCUCUCUGCCCGUCAUCCAUGGAGAGACGGUCUCUAUCUCCUGCAAGUCUAGUCAGAGUCUCCUACACAGUGAUGGAAAAACUUAUUUGUAUUGGUUGCAGCAGAAGCCAGGCCAGGCUCCACGGCGCCUGAUAUACCAGGUUUCUAACAGGGACCCUGGGGUCCCAGACAGGUUCAGUGGCAGCGGGUCAGGGACAGAUUUCACACUCAAAAUCAGCAGGGUGGAGGCUGAGGAUGCUGGAAUUUAUCGUGCAAGGUAUACAAUAUCCUCUCACAGUGAUACAGCCCUGAACACAAACCUCCCUGCUUGGAGUGGCCCAGCUGCCCUCAUGUGCUCUCUGUCUGGGGAGCAGCAACAGCAGCCCCUGAGCCCACGUAAGAGGAAGGUGCUGGAGAGCUCAGGGCACUAG